CCUUCCUCAUCGCCUGCCUGCUGCUGCGCGUCUUCAGGUCCGGAAAGAGGUUGAAGAAGACUCGCAAGUAUGACAUCAUCACCACCCCGGCUGAGCGCGUGGAAAUGGCCCCGCUGAAUGAAGAAGACGAUGAGGAUGAAGACUCCACAGUAUUUGACAUCAAAUACAGGUAAAACCUGUUUCCCAGCGUGCUGGCAUCCUGUGGAAAGCUGGUCAGCUGCACCUGGGCGGGAAGGAUCUGGAAGCCGUCUUGUCCGAGGUGUUGAAACCAAAAUAAACAUUAUUUAUGAAACCGGCACAUUUGUGUGUGUCGAAUGUCUGCUCAGAACGUCACCGCAGGAGAAUCGCCUCUCCCUGCCUCUGGACACCACUUCAAAAUGUUUCCCUUUCUUCCUCCUCAAGGGGCUUCUGCCUCGCCCAGGGGCACAGGGUAGAAACGUGUUGACUUAAAAAAUAUUAACCUGAAAGCAACUGUUGACCAAAGUAAAAGAGAUCAGAAGUUAUGAAGAACCUCAAGAAGAAUAUCCAUCCGUGCAGCGAGGCGUUCUGAUGUUCUGCUCUCCUGGAUCUGUGACGUGCGAGAUGUCUAACCCUGUGGACUUUGGGGUUUGGUCAGGUUCUGGCCUUCUGUUGGGAAUGGCUGUGUUCAGAGUGAGAGUCCUUGGAGCCGGUCAGCCCAUAGCAGAAGUCAAUACAUGUUUGUGGCUCCUUUUCUUUUUCUUCUUUUGUUUAAAGGGCUCAGCAGAACUGGGCAUGGUGACUUCAUAAAGGAUUUUGAAUAUCAGGGAAAAAAUAUAUGUGUGUACCUCUAAAGUAAUUUCUUCUUGUCUGAAGGAAAAAGAAUGCACUAGGCAACCUUUGGUUAGUAACAUCCUUGUGUGUAGCUCUGUGCCCUGUCAUGGUUCUGACAUUGUCAGUCUUAGACAUCUAAUUGCAAAGUAUCACUGGGGUCAUUUCAAUGCAUGGUGGUUUGGUUGGCGGAAAAAGCACACUGUCCAGGCUGGACUAGAAGCCCGCUGACUCGGGGGGUACCACAGCUGUGGGUCAGGGGUUCGGGUGGCUUCUGGAAGCAGGGACUUGGGUUGGCUUCUCAGGUUGAUUGGAGUUCCCGUUUCACUGUUCCCCGGGUGGAUGCUCCUGCUAAAGCCGACUGGCAGUGCCUUUGGGGCCCUGGGACUCUCUUUUCCCCGGAAAGGUGUUUUGUACUUUUUUUAAAAAAAAAGCUCUUUUCUGGC